rnacentral:rRNA from 1 species
UCGGGAGAAGGAGGGCCUCGUUAGGGUGAAGGACUUCGCGUCCGGAGCUCGAGGAGGUCGCAGCGAAUUGAGGGAAGCGACUGUUUACUAAAAACACAGCAGCGUGCUAAGUCGUAAGACGACGUAUACGCUGUGACGCCUGCCCGGUGCCGGAAGGUUACGGGGAAGGGUUAGUCCUUCGGGACGAAGCUCUGAACCUAAGCCCCGGUAAACGGCGGCCGUAACUAUAACGGUUAAGUACCUACUUGGCUGUUAAUAAACCUGGCUAUAUGCUGGAACAUCCGAGUAUCCGGUGGUACUAAUCGGUGUUUGCAUCUCAAAUGACGGAUGCGACGAACCGGUAGUGAAAAUCCAUCCGGUGCGGACAAUCAGCAGGAAACCUGCAAAGGGAUCCUCAGAGACUACACGCCAGGCCCGCCAGCGAUUUGCGGCUGACGGUGAAGAUAUAGUCCGACCCUCAUGGCGACAUGAGGAGCUGGGCAGAAAUGUCCCAGCCUCGCUAGAGCCGCGCUAAUUAGAAUGGUUUCAGCGAAGUAACAAAGUGCCUAAGGUAGGAAAUACCUCUUUGCAGGAAAGAGGUGCUGCCCCCCGAGCCGGUAACGGUUCGGUGCGCAGUCGGCUAUAUGCUGGAAAACCCGAGUAUUCUCCACUACUCGUCGUUGAUGGCAGUGAUACAGCAUCGCUGUAUGACUUAAGCGUGAACGGCAGUGACAAUGUGCGAGAUGCGGAAAAUCAGCAGGAAAGACUCCUGUACCAAGGAUGGAUCGUCGGCUUCGUAGAUGGCGAGGGUUGCUUCAGUUGCCCAAUCUUUCGUAAUCGAGGCAUGACGAUGCGCUGGCAAGUCCAGCCAACCUUUGUGGUUGUGCAGGGCGCCAGCAGCCGUGAGGUCCUGGAAGACCUGAGCCGCUUUUUCGGAUGCGGCAAGGUGUACGUGAACCGCCGACAAGACAAUCACCGGGAGGAUCUGUACCGGUACCGUGUCGGCAGACUUGCGGAUUUGCGGGAGACAAUUAUCCCGUACUUUCAGGAAUAUCCUCUGCGGACAUCGAAGCGGGAAAACUUCGAAAAGUUCGUACGGAUCAUUGAGCUAAUGGAUCAAGGUCGACACUUGACGGGGCCAGGCCUCAUCGAGAUAGCCGAGAUCGUAGAGACGAUGAACCAGCGGAAACCAUCUGAGGUCGUGAGAAUCCUCAGAGACCAUACGCCGACCAUCUCACCGGCCCGUGGUGAGAUGAAGAUAUGGUCCGGCCCCUGUGGCGACACAGGGAGGCCGGCGGAAACGUCCGGCCCGCCCAUUGAACAAGUGCAGACUCAAUGGGUCUUCAAGUAACAGACCAAGCGAAAUUCCUUGUCGGGUAAGUUCCGACCUGCACGAAUGGCGUAACGAUUUCCCUACUGUCUCAACCACAGACCCGGCGAAAUUGAAGUACGAGUAAAGAUGCUCGUUAGCUGCACCAGGACGGAAAGACCCCGUGGACCUUUACUGCAGCUUGAUGUUGAGCUUUGGUACGGAUUGUGUAGGAUAGGUGGGAGUCUGGGAAGCUCCGGCGUUAGCCGGGGUGGAGACAACGUUGAAAUACCACCCUGUUCGUACUGGGGCUCUAACCUCGGCCCGUAAUCCGGGCCAGGGACCGCGUCAGGUGGGCAGUUUGACUGGGGCGGUCGCCUCCUAAAACGUAACGGAGGCGCCCAAAGGUUCCCUCAGGCUGGUUGGCAAUCAGCCGUCGAGUGCAAUGGCAAAAGGGAGCUUGACUGCGAGACUAACAGGUCGAGCAGGUGCGAAAGCAGGGCAUAGUGAUCCGGCGGUUGCUUGUGGAAGCGCCGUCGCUCAACGGAUAAAAGGUACCCCGGGGAUAACAGGCUCAUCUUCCCCAAGAGUCCAUAUCGACGGGAAGGUUUGGCACCUCGAUGUCGGCUCGUCGCAUCCUGGGGCUGAAGCCGGUCCCAAGGGUUGGGCUGUUCGCCCAUUAAAGCGGUACGCGAGCUGGGUUUAGAACGUCGUGAGACAGUGGACAUACGCGCUGUCUAUAAACUUGGCUAUAUGCUGGAAACACCGAUUGAAUCCUGCGCUACUCGUCAGUGCUUGCUUCGUGACUGUUACAUCCCAACGAUACGUUGAAGGUCAUGGAGCCAGCUGGCAGUGACAAAGCGACAGGUGCGGUCAAUCAGCAGGAAAGACUGGAUGCAUACAUCGCAGGGUUCGUAGACGGAGAAGGCAGCUUUCACGUUGCGAUUCAGCGGAACCCGAGCACAAGAGUUGGCCUC